rnacentral:rRNA from 1 species
UACGUAGGGGGCCAGCGUUGUUCGGAAUUACUGGGUGUAAAGGGUUCGUAGGCGGUGUGGCAAGUCGGGAGUGAAAUCUCUGGGCUCAACUCAGAGACUGCUUCCGAAACUGCUGUGCUGGAGUGUGGGAGAGGCGCGUGGAAUUGCAGGUGUAGCGGUGAAAUGCGUAGAUAUCUGCAGGAACACCCGUGGCGAAAGCGGCGCGCUGGACCACUACUGACGCUGAGGAACGAAAGCUAGGGGAGCAAACGGG